rnacentral:rRNA from 1 species
CAGCCGCCACGGUAAUACGAAGGGGGCUAGCGUUGCUCGGAAUUACUGGGCGUAAAGGGCGCGUAGGCGGACAUUUAAGUCAGAGGUGAAAGCCCAGGGCUCAACCUUGGAACUGCCUUUGAUACUGGGUGUCUAGAGUGCGGGAGAGGUGUGUGGAACUCCGAGUGUAGAGGUGAAAUUCGUAGAUAUUCGGAAGAACACCAGUGGCGAAGGCGACACACUGGCCCGUAACUGACGCUGAGGCGCGAAAGCGUGGGGAGCAAACAGGAUUAGAUACCCCAGUAGUCCCUGUCUCUUAUAC